GUAGGUGGCAAGCGUUGUCCGGAAUUAUUGGGCGUAAGCGCGCGCAGGCGGUUCUUUAAGUCUGAUGUGAAAGCCCACGGCUCAACCGUGGAGGGUCAUUGGAAACUGGAGAACUUGAGUACAGAAGAGGAAAGCGGAAUUCCACGUGUAGCGGUGAAAUGCGUAGAGACGUGGAGGAACACCAGUGGCGAAGGCGGCUUUCUGGUCUGUAACUGACGCUGAGGCGCGAAAGCGUGGGGAGCAAACAGGGAUUAGAUACCCUGGUAGUCCACGCCGUAAACGAUGAGUGCUAAGUGUUAGGGGGUUUCCGCCCCCUUAGUGCUGCAGCUAACGCAUUAAGCACUCCGCCUGGGGAGUACGGCCGCAAGGCUG
rnacentral:rRNA from 1 species